UCCAGACUCCUACGGGAGGCAGCAGUGGGGAAUAUUGCACAAUGGGGGAAACCCUGAUGCAGCGACGCCGCGUGAGUGAAGAAGUAUUUCGGUAUGUAAAGCUCUAUCAGCAGGGAAGAAAAUGACGGUACCUGAUUAAGAAGCCCCGGCUAACUACGUGCCAGCAGCCGCGGUAAUACGUAUGGAGCAAGCGUUAUCCGGAUUUACUGGGUGUAAAGGGAGAGUAGGUGGCAGAGCAAGUCCGAAGUGAAAACCCAAAGCUCAACUAUGGGAAUGCUUUAGAAACUGCUCAGCUAGAGUGCAGGAGAGGCAAGUGGAAUUCUUAGUGUAGCGGUGAAAUGCGUAGAUAUUAGGAGGAACACCAGUGGCGAAGGCGGCUUGCUGGACGGUAACUGACACUGAGGCUCGAAAGCGUGGGGAGCAAACAGGAUUAGAUACCCGAGUAGCC
rnacentral:rRNA from 1 species